AAGGGCAUCGUGGUAUAAUCGUCGAGGUACCGCAGGACCUAAGAGAUCGAAUGGAAGGGUACAUAGACAAGUAAAUCCCUUAUGACACUCCUUUAAUUUUAAUUUAAGAGGAUUCAGCAUUCGAGGGGAAGUAGACUACUCAAGAAUUUCACAUUUCAUUUAUGUCCUAAUUUUGAAUUGAAUAAAGAAUUAAGAAAAUCUAAAUCAAUAAA
rnacentral:lncRNA from 1 species